rnacentral:piRNA from 1 species
UAGAGUGCCUAAGAGGUAGAGA